AUGAUCUCUUCUUCUUCCCAAGCGUCGCCCGCUGGCUUCCUCCAAUGCGUCACCAAGGCUAACAUCUCGGUGUUCGAGCAGGGCGAGGAUUUGUUCAACACGCAGCUCCACAAAUACAUGAGGAACCCAAAGUUCCUGGCAAACACCACCGAGAGGCCGCUCUAUGUCGUGAUGCCGGUGAAUGCUCACCACGUGCAGGUCGCCGUGCGCUGCGGCAGCCUAAACGGGGUGCCCAUCCGCGUGCGCAGCAGCGGGCACGACUAUGAGGGCCUGUCGUACCGGUCCGUGCACACCGAGGGCUUCGCCAUGCUCGACAUGUCGGAGCUACGCGCCGUGGUCGUCGACAACCAGACAUCGACAGCGUGGGUGGAGUCCGGCGCGACGCUCGGCGAGCUCUACUAUGCCAUAUCGAAGGCGAGUAGCCUUCUGGGAUUCCCGGCCGGCGUGUGCCCGACCGUCGGCGUCGGAGGCCAUUUUAGCGGCGGUGGCUUCGGCAAGAUGAUGCGCAAGCACGGGCUGGCCAUUGAUAACAUUAUCGAUGCUGAGUUGGUGGACGUCAAUGGCACGCUCCUGAACAAGACCACCAUGGGGGACGACGUCUUCUGGGCCAUCAGAGGCGGCGGCGGCGGGAGCUUCGGCGUCGUGCUGAAGUGGCAGGUGAGGCUCGUGACCGUCCCGGCGACGGUAUCGGUGUUCAAGGUCUCGGCGUCCAACAGCCAGGGAGCCGCCGUGCACGCGGUCACCAAGUGGCAGAAGGUGGCGCCGGCCCUGCCGGACGAACUGUACAUCAGGGCGCUUGUCCAGAACGACAUGGCCGUCUUUCGAGCAGUGUUCCUCGGCACAUGCGACACGCUCCUGCCUCUGGUAAACAACUGCACCGUGGAGGACCUCCCGAAGCGGACCACCUCCAAGAUCGACUCCAGCCAUGGCUUCAAGGCGACCACGGACUACGUCCGGCGGCCCAUUCGGCGGGAGGUGUGGGCCAAGAUCUUCAACAAGCAGAGCAAGUGGGUGAGGGACAUGUACGCCUUCAUGUCACCGUACGUGAGCUCUAAUUCCAUGUCAAGGGGAGCCUACAUCAACUGCAGGGACCUGGAUCUGGGUCCCAACUGGGGGCCGAAAUACUUCAAGGGUAACUACCAGAGGCUCACCAAGGCCAAGGCUGAGAUCGACCCCCACAAUUACUUCCGCAAUGAGCAAAGUAUCUCCCUGCCAAAAGGAGCAUCUUAA
rnacentral:rRNA from 1 species